rnacentral:rRNA from 1 species
GACGAACGCUGGCGGCGUGCCUAAUACAUGCAAGUAGAACGCUGAAGGAGGAGCUUGCUUCUCUGGAUGAGUUGCGAACGGGUGAGUAACGCGUAGGUAACCUGCCUGGUAGCGGGGGAUAACUAUUGGAAACGAUAGCUAAUACCGCAUAAUAGCAGUUAUUGCAUGAUAACUGUUUGAAAGGUGCAAUUGCACCACUACCAGAUGGACCUGCGUUGUAUUAGCUAGUUGGUGGGGUAACGGCUCACCAAGGCGACGAUACAUAGCCGACCGGAGAGGGUGAUCGGCCACACUGGGAGUGAGACACGGCCCAGACGCCUACGGGAGACAGCAGUAGGGAAUCUUCGGCAAUGGACGGAAGUCUGACCGAGAAACGCCGCGUGAGUGAAGAAGGUUGUCGGAUCGUAAAGCUCUGUUGUAAGAGAAGAACGAGUGUGAGAGUGGAAAGUUCACACUGUGACGGUAUCUUACCAGAAAGGGACGGCUAACUACGUG